CCUGGGCACCUCCUGUUCCUUGGAAAACCCCCCAGGAAUUGUUUUGCUCCCCACCACCAGUGCUGGGCUCCCAGGGAGAAGGGAGGGGAGCACAAGUACAAAGGACAGGGAAGGGAAGGCUGAGCACCCCUGCACCUCUCAGCUGCCCCACUGCUGGGGGAAUAUUGCUUCAGCUUAAAAAGGCCUUUGGAUUAAAAGUGAAUUCAGUGCUUUUCCAUCAAAAACAUCCAGAGCUCUGUUCCCUGACCAGGAUGCAGCGAGGCCCCCUCACCCUCACCCUCCCUGGGUGAUUUGUGCUCCAUCAGCACCCUCAGAACACGGGGCCUCUGUGCUUUCAUUUCCCUCAGUGCAAGUGGAGGAAGCCAGGAGCUGUCAGGGAGCACAGAGCCACCAGCACGUCCCCAGUGAGCCCUGAGGGGCUGCCCAGCACCCUGAGCUCAGCCCAAUUUGGUUUUUCAAACACAAAGAGCCACCCAAGGAGGCCCAUCAGACACUCAAGUGCCUUCCCCUACACCCAGCAAAUACAAAAUCUUGGAUAGAAACUGGAGAUGUCUGACCAUGGGGGUGUUUGGAUGAGAACAAAACGCUGCCCAGAGCAUGGCAGGAGCCAGGGUGACACUUUGUGCCCAUCACCUGGCCCUGUGUCCCAGCAACAGCUGGCUCUGGGCUGUGGGAUGGCAUCUCCAGCCCUGGGAAUGCCCAGCAGAGCAGACUCCUGUCUGGGAAUGCCCAGGAGAGCAGAUUCCUGUCUGGGAAUGCCCAGGAGAGCAGAUUCCUGCCAAUCUUGGGAAUGCCCAGGAGAGCAGAUUCCUGUCAGUUCUGGGAAUGCCCAGCAGAGCAGACUCCUGUCUGGGAAUGCCCAGGAGAGCAGAUUCCUGCCAUCCCUGGGAAUGCCCAGCAGAGCAGAUUCCUGUCUGGGAAUGCCCAGGAGAGCAGAUUCCUGUCUGGGAAUGCCCAGCAGAGCAGAUUCCUGCCAGGACUGAGCUGCUCUGGUCACUGCCAUGGCCAGCCCAGCUCCNCCCUGCCACGGAGGGUCUGGGCUGCCUCCCCUGAGGGGCCCUCCCGAGGAACCCUCCCGAGGAACCCUCCUGAAAAACCCUCCUGAGAAACCCUCCUGAAAAACCCUCCUGAAGGUUCCUCCUGAGGAACCCUCCUGAAGGUUCCUCCUGAGGAACCCUCCUGAGGAACCCUCCUGAAGGUUUCUCCUGAGGAACCCUCCUGAAGAACCCUCCUGAAGGUUCCUCCUGAGGAACCCUCCUGAAGGUUUCUCCUGAGGGUCCCUCCUGAAGGUUCCUCCUGAAGGUUCCUCCUGAAGAACCCUCCUGAAGGUUCCUCCUGAAAAACCCUCCUGAAGGUUCCUCCUGAGGAACCCUCCUGAAGAACCCUCCUGAGGAACCCUCCUGAGGAACCCUCCUGAAGGUUCCUCCUGAAAAACCCUCCUGAAGGUUCCUCCUGAGGAACCCUCCUGAAAAACCCUCCUGAAGGUUCCUCCUGAGGAACCCUCCUGAAAAACCCUCCUGAAGAACCCUCCUGAAGGUUCCUCCUGAGGAACCCUCCUGAAGAACCCUCC
ensembl:lncRNA